CGCUGUUGUUUUGCCGGCAAAGGACGCCGGCUGGCGUGUGAGCUGCUGCUAGCCGUGAUCAUUAUCCGGUAGAUUUGGUACCUUCAGCCAUUCUUGCGUGGAACUGCACUCUGCCGUGAACUGGCGUUCACUUCGCGCUGCCUAUACUGCACCGGUGUGUACCUCCUUGGUUGGUGUGUUGCCCCAUCAUCUGUGCCCUGUGGCAGGCCUGAUUCGUGGUGCUUACGCCGGUUUUGGAUUGGCCACAGUGGUUGGCCCCUGGGUACCUGACUGCAGUCAGUGGAUGUGUGUGGUCCAAAUUGCGAUUGUUCCGAACCACGGAUCCAUGAUCGGGUUAGCGGUGCCUCUCUGACGCCGUGGGAUUGCUGGCUGCACUCCUCGGAGGUUGCUGUUUUGUUGCCGUCACACUCUGCGCCAGU